UACGGGGGGAGCAAGCGUUGUUCGGAUUUACUGGGCGUAAAGCGCACGUAGGCGGUUUGUUAAGUCAGGGGUGAAAUCCCGGAGCUCAACUCCGGAACUGCCUUUGAUACUGGCAAGCUAGAGUCCGGAAGAGGUAAGUGGAACUCCUAGUGUAGAGGUGGAAUUCGUAGAUAUUAGGAAGAACACCAGUGGCGAAGGCGGCUUACUGGUCCGGAACUGACGCUGAGGUGCGAAAGCGUGGGGAGCAAACAGG
rnacentral:rRNA from 1 species